rnacentral:rRNA from 1 species
CAGCCGCCGCGGUAAUACAGAGGGUGCAAGCGUUAAUCGGAAUUACUGGGCGUAAAGCGUGCGCAGGCGGUUUUGUAAGACAGGCGUGAAAUCCCCGGGCUCAACCUGGGAAUGGCGCUUGUGACUGCAAAGCUAGAGUGCGGCAGAGGGGGAUGGAAUUCCGCGUGUAGCAGUGAAAUGCGUAGAUAUGCGGAGGAACACCGAUGGCGAAGGCAAUCCCCUGGGCCUGCACUGACGCUCAUGCACGAAAGCGUGGGGAGCAAACAGGAUUAGAUACCCCAGUAGUCCCUGUCUCUUAUAC